UGGGGAAUGACUGCUAAGGCGUAUGGGUUUUGUUUGGGGUGAGGAAAAUAUCCUGGACUUAGAUAUUGGUGACGGUUGCACAACUCUGUACCAUUUGUUUUGUUUACUCAGUGCCAGGCACCCUGCGUACAUCACUUGGUUUAACCGUCACAAUUACCCGGUAAAUGGGAAUUCUCAGCUGCGUUUCAGACAAGGAACCUACAGCCUGGAAGGGUUAGUUAACCUAAAAGGGGAAGAAUUCUCAAUUUCCACACCAGAUGUGCAUGCCCAUUUACCUCCAGGAAAACACACAGAGAAAUAGCUGCAACCAGGACAAGAAAGAAGAUGAAAAAAUGCCCUGCUCUAAUUAUGAAUAUGAAAUGCAACCUAGAAGUCACCGUUUUUCAAAGAAAGAAAAAAAGUAAGAGGGUUUUAAAAGAGUAAGGAAUUACAACAUACAAGGAAAAAGAAUCCAUUGGGGGGCCAGCCCUGUGGCCCAGUGGUUAAGUUCGCGGGCUCCGCUGUGGCAGCCCAGGGUUUCACUGGUUCCUGGCACUAUAAUUUGAAUAUUUAGCAUGCCCAAAUUCUUGAGUUCACCUAUGGAAUUAAGACAAAAAGAAACAAAUAAACAAAAAGC
rnacentral:lncRNA from 1 species